AGAAGCUUAGUUUAAAGGCAAAACGGGCGACUUAUAAUCGUCAGUUGACUGGUUCAAGUCCAUCAGCUUCUACCA
rnacentral:tRNA from 1 species